rnacentral:rRNA from 1 species
GAUGAACGCUGGCGGCGUGCUUAACACAUGCAAGUCGAACGGAAAGGCCCAAGCUUGCUUGGGUACUCGAGUGGCGAACGGGUGAGUAACACGUGGGUGAUCUGCCCUGCACUUCGGGAUAAGCCUGGGAAACUGGGUCUAAUACCGGAUAGGACGAUGGUUUGGAUGCCAUUGUGGAAAGUUUUUUCGGUGUGGGAUGAGCUCGCGGCCUAUCAGCUUGUUGGUGGGGUAAUGGCCUACCAAGGCGUCGACGGGUAGCCGGCCUGAGAGGGGGUACGGCCACAUUGGGACUGAGAUACGGCCCAGACUCCUACGGGAGGCAGCAGUGGGGAAUAUUGCACAAUGGGCGCAAGCCUGAUGCAGCGACGCCGCGUGGGGGAUGACGGCCUUCGGGUUGUAAACUCCUUUCGCUAGGGACGAAGCGUUUUUGUGACGGUACCUGGAGAAGAAGCACCGGCUAACUACGUG